rnacentral:rRNA from 1 species
AGAGUUUGAUCAUGGCUCAGAUUGAACGCUGGCGGAAUGCUUUACACAUGCAAGUCGAACGAUGAACCUUAGCUUGCUAAGGGGAUUAGUGGCGAACGGGUGAGUAAUAUAUCGGAACGUGCCUUGUAAUGGGGGAUAACUAGUCGAAAGAUUAGCUAAUACCGCAUACGCCCUGAGGGGGAAAGUAGGGGAUCUUCGGACCUUACGUUAUAAGAGCGGCCGAUAUCUGAUUAGCUAGUUGGUGGGGUAAUGGCCUACCAAGGCUUCGAUCAGUAGCUGGUCUGAGAGGACGACCAGCCACACUGGAACUGAGACACGGUCCAGACUCCUACGGGAGGCAGCAGUGGGGAAUUUUGGACAAUGGGCGCAAGCCUGAUCCAGCCAUUCCGCGUGAGUGAAGAAGGCCUUCGGGUUGUAAAGCUCUUUCGCAAGGGAAGAAAACUUACCAUCGAAUAAAUGGUGAGGCUGACGGUACCUUGAUAAGAAGCACCGGCUAACUA